UCACACUAAAUGUUUAAAUUAACCCAUAUUUGCCUAACCCCUUCUAAAAUUCAGCUCAAAAUCUAAUUUUGAGCAUCUUAUAAACCACAAAACUUGAAAUUAACUAUAUUAGCCAAACCCAUUCUAAAACUCUGCUCAAAUCUAAUUUUGAGCUCUGCUCAAAUCUAAUUUUGAGCAUCUCACAAACCACUAAAGCUGAAUCCAAACCCCU
rnacentral:lncRNA from 1 species